rnacentral:rRNA from 1 species
CACUUCCAGCAUAACAACUAUUGGAGGCACUGCCUGCCCAGUGACACUUGUUUAACGGCCGCGGUAUCCUGACCGUGCAAAGGUAGCAUAAUCAUUUGUUCUCUAAAUAAGGACUUGCAUGAAUGGCCACACGAGGGUUUAACUGUCUCUUACUUCCAAUCAGUGAAAUUGACCUUCCCGUGAAGAGGCGGGAAUUACAAAAUAAGACGAGAAGACCCUAUGGAGCUUUAAUUAACUGACUUAUAAAUAAAUAAUAACUCUCCAAGGAAGCAAAAUACUUUUAAUAAGUUAGCAAUUUAGGUUGGGGUGACCUCGGAAUAUAGAACAACUUCCGAGUGAUUAAAAGCCUAGACCUACAAGUCAAAGCACCUAAUCAUUUAUUGAUCCAAAAAGCUUGAUCAACGGAACAAGUUACCCUAGGGAUAACAGCGCAAUCCUACUUGAGAGUCCAUAUCGAUAGUGGGGUUUACGACCUCGAUGUUGGAUCAGGACAUCCUAAUGGUGCAGCCGCUAUUAAUGGUUCGUUUGUUCAACGAUUAAAGUCCU